GGUCAAGAGUGCCAGCGCAAAACCCCGGUUUGCUGGCCGGCAACCCUCCAGUUCGCGGUGGGGUGCCCCGGGUGACGACCUGGUUGCGGCAGUCCCGGAGAAGAUCCAAGGACUGACCGUGGCAAGCGCGGGCC
rnacentral:ncRNA from 2 species